rnacentral:lncRNA from 1 species
CUCAAGUCUUUUUCUUCACGUUUUUCCGCGACUCAGGAUGAGAUUCGAAAUUGGUCCACGGCUCUGUUCCCACUUUUGGCCACUGGAGUCAUCCCCUAAUCAAACAUGAGACUCUUCAGCUGCCUCUUGAAACAGAUAGCACCUGGAAAAAUUGAUAUAGGAAAAAAUCGGAUUUAUCCAAGGAUCACCCGAGCUGACUUGAAAAUUGCUCGAGAAGAUAUUGCCCGCACGGAACGGAAUAUACUUCUACUGCGACACCCCUACCUGAGUAUUAAAGAAUCAUUUGGACAUGAGGAAGCUCUUCAUGACUCACAAAAAUUGGAAUUCAAGAAAAAGUUGUUAGAAGAACAGGAAGCCUUUGCAAAAAAGAGACCAGAUGUUACUUUGGAUGAAAGAUACAUGACAGUGAGCCAUUCUGAUUCCUGGGAUCCAUAAUUUUAGCUGAUGUCAGUUAUAACACUUUUCUAAAUCUUCUCUAAUAAACCUUGUUGCAUUAUGCUUCUACCUACACUGCCUUCUUGGCUUGAAGCUUCAAAAUACAUUGCAACUUGCUUUUUCUCCCAAGCUUGAAAAAUUCAGUAGGAGGCAUGUAUGGCAGUAUAUAGGGUGAAUUUGUACAUAAGUAGUUCUUGAGAAACCUCAAUAAAUUUCAGCCAAGUUAAUUUUAUAUCGACAUCGAUUAAAGUUUCUUUACUUCUUAUCUGAACCAUAUGGCUUUUACUAUAUUUUCAACUUCAAUGAUUCAGAACAAUGAUGCAAAGUCAAGAAAUCGGUCUGUGGCUGACAAUUUGAAACUCGCUUUGAUCUUCUAACCGUUUUUAAUCCAUCACGAUGCGAUCUGUCAUAAUUUUGAAGAAUCUAAUGAAAUCUGAAACCGAUCUGUGUUUACUCCAAUGUGCAUUCGAUCAUUCAAAAAUGGUAAUUUAGAAAAGGUAAUCUGUAAAAAAAAAUUGCAAGCAACCA